rnacentral:rRNA from 1 species
CCCUUAGAUGUUCUGGGCCGCACGCGUGCUACACUGAGCGGUUCAAUGGGUAAGGUAGUGCGAAAGCAUGACCUAAUCUCGAAAUCCGUUCGUGCUGGGGAUAGAAGCUUGCAAUUAUCCUUCUUGAACGAGGAAUACCUUGUAAGCGUGAGUCAUCAUCUCACGCUGAAUACGUCCCUGCCCUUUGUACACACCGCCCGUCGCUCCUACCGAUUGAGUGUUCCGGUGAGGCUUUGGGAGAAUGGCCUCAACAUGAGUUUAUCGUGUUUUGCCGUUUGAACUUAGUCAAACCUUAUCACUUAGAGGAAGGAGAAGUCGUAACA